rnacentral:rRNA from 1 species
CUGGAGAUCCUACGGGAGGCAGCAGUGAGGAAUAUUGGUCAAUGGACGGAAGUCUGAACCAGCCAAGUAGCGUGCAGGAUGACGGCCCUAUGGGUUGUAAACUGCUUUUGUAUGGGGAUAAAGUUAGGGACGUGUCCCUAUUUGCAGGUACCAUACGAAUAAGGACCGGCUAAUUCCGUGCCAGCAGCCGCGGUAAUACGGAAGGUCCAGGCGUUAUCCGGAUUUAUUGGGUUUAAAGGGAGCGUAGGCUGGAGAUUAAGUGUGUUGUUAAAUGUGGACGUUCAACGUCUGAAUGGCAGCGCAUACUGGUUUCGUUGAGUACGCACAACGUUGGCGGAAUUCGUCGUGUAGCGGUGAAAUGCUUAGAUAUGACGAAGAACUCCGAUUGCGAAGGCAGCUGACGGGAGCGCAACUGACGCUUAAGCUCGAAGGUGCGGGUAUCGAACAGGAUUAGAAACCCCGGUAGUCCUAG